rnacentral:rRNA from 1 species
AACGUCGCAAGACCAAAGAGGGGGACCUUCGGGCCUCUUGCCAUCGGAUGUGCCCAGAUGGGAUUAGCUAGUAGGUGGGGUAACGGCUCACCUAGGCGACGAUCCCUAGCUGGUCUGAGAGGAUGACCAGCCACACUGGAACUGAGACACGGUCCAGACUCCUACGGGAGGCAGCAGUGGGGAAUAUUGCACAAUGGGCGCAAGCCUGAUGCAGCCAUGCCGCGUGUAUGAAGAAGGCCUUCGGGUUGUAAAG